rnacentral:rRNA from 1 species
GAUGAACGCUAGCGGCAGGCCUAAUACAUGCAAGUCGAACGGGCGGUAGCAAUACCGCUAGUGGCGCACGGGUGCGUAACGCGUAACCAACCUGCCCAGAUCUGGGGGAUAGCCCGCCGAAAGGCGGAUUAAUACCGCAUAAACCCACAGUGUGGCAUCACAUAAUGGGUAAAGAUUUAUCGGAUCUGGAUGGGGUUGCGUAGCAUUAGCUAGUUGGCGGGGUAAUGGCCCACCAAGGCGACGAUGCUUAGGGGACCUGAGAGGGUGAUCCCCCACACUGGCACUGAGAUACGGGCCAGACUCCUACGGGAGGCAGCAGUAGGGAAUAUUGGGCAAUGGGCGAGAGCCUGACCCAGCCAUGCCGCGUGCCGGAUGAAGGCCUUCUGGGUUGUAAACGGCUUUUCUCAGGGAAGAAAACGGGGAUGCGUCCUCAACUGGCGGUACCUGAGGAAUAAGCACCGGCUAACUCCGUG